UGCGUAGGCGGUUUUGUAAGUCUUAUGUGAAAUCUAUGGGCUCAACUCAUAGACUGCAUGAGAAACUGCAGGGCUUGAGUGUGGGAGAGGUGAGUGGAAUUCCUGGUGUAGCGGUGAAAUGCGUAGAUAUCAGGAGGAACACCUGUGGCGAAAGCGGCUCACUGGACCACAACUGACGCUGAUGCACGAAAGCUAGGGGAGCAAACAGGAUUAGAUACCCUGGUAGUCCUAGCCCUAAACGAUGACUGCUUGGUGUGACGGGUACCCAAUCCCGCCGUGCCGUAGCUAACGCGUUAAGCAGUCCGCCUGGGGAGUACGGUCGCAAGGCUGAA
rnacentral:rRNA from 1 species